GCGGGGGGCCCCAGUUGGCAGCCACUUAUCUCAUCGUAGCCCUUAUCUUCCUCACGGGCUCACGCGCGGCGGGGAGAGAGAGGACGUCACCGAUCGGCCAUGUCCGCAGCCACCGCGUGCGCCUCGCCGGCGGCGGCGCGCCCGCCCCUCCACAUCCCCCUCCGCUCGCCUCCUUCCGCCGCGCACCUUCCCUCCGCCGCCGCCUCCCGCCGGGCCUCCUCCGCCGCUUGCCGCUGCACCGCCUCCGCCUCCGCCUCCGCCUCGCCCUCCACCUGGGAUUGGACCCGCUGGACCCGCCACUUCGCCGACGUCGACCAGGCCGAGAGCUACGCCUCCCUCCUCAAGUUCCAGCUCGAGGAGGCCGUCGACAACGAGGACUUCGCGGAAGCCUCCAAGCUCAAGAAGGCCAUACUCGAGGCCACGGGCAACGACGCCGUCGCCCAAGUCAUGUCUGAACUCAAGACUGCUAUAGAGGAACAGAGGUAUCAGGACGCCUCAAGGUUGACAAAGCUUGCCAGAACCAACUUGGUAGGUUGGUGGGUGGGGUACGCUAAGGAUACCGAUGAUUCGAUCGGGAGAAUCGUACGGAUAAGCCCCGGUGUUGGGAGAUAUGUGGCUAAGAGCUUCAGCCCAAGGCAAUUGGUUACUGCAUCGUCAGGAACUCCAUUAUUUGAAAUUUUCCUUGUCAGAGAUGACGAUGAGACAUAUACAAUGAAGGUUGUACACAUGCGACCAACAAAAGGCACUUCAAGUGCAUCAUCCGUAUCAUCAGCAACUGCAGAAAGUCCAGCUAAGGAAGAGAAUGAAAGCUCAUUGGAAAGUAGUGCUAUAUCUGAGGGCAUUACCGAUGAAGCGAAUACAGAUACUACAUUAAAGGGAGAUGAAGAUGUUGAGGAUAAAGAACAAGAUGUUGGUAACGCCAAGGAUAGUAGUGUUGAAGGGUUGAAAAGCGUUCUGAAUUUCUUCAAGUCUCGGAUUCCUGAAUUCAAAGUUCAAGUAAUAAAUGUAGAUGUGUCUGAGGAAGCUGAAUUAGCUUCAGAUUCGUCAGAAGAAUUAGUGCAAGAUGAUGUGAAGAGCACGUCAGAGAACUCAUUGGAAGAUUCUACCACUGAGGAGCUUCAGCAGGAUGAUGUUCCAGAUGGAGAUUCAGACUCAGCUGAAGAUAGUAAAAGUCCAGAAAUGAAGCUCUUCAUUAGUGGAGUGGUUCAUAACAAGGAGGAUGCUGGAGCAAAAUCAUAUGUUCGAGUUCCAGCUGAAAUCAAUAAUUUGGAAAAGGAUUCCUUCGAACUUUACAUUCCUGGAAAAGGUUCUGAUCGAGAUCUGGCUGAUACAAAGGCUGCAAAACAGAAAGUUGCUGAUAUGGCUGCCAAAUUGGCAUCAGAACUUAUGCCUUCUGAUGUUGCGAAGGCAUUAUGGGGAACGACCAAGAGUUCUUCGAAGAUAAAUAAAGAAGUACAAGAGCUCUUAAAGCUUACCCUCAGCAAGGCUCGAGUCAAGCUGACUGAGAAUACAAUUUUCAAUAGGAUCAUUACUGACAGUAACGGCUCAGAUCCAUUUAGUGGUCUCUAUGUGGGAGCAUUUAGUCCAUAUGGACCAGAAGUUGUGCAGCUCCGUCGAAAGUUCGGCCAUUGGAACAGCACAGAUGAAGUGGAGUUUUUCGAGUAUGUUGAAGCAGUAAAGUUGACUGGUGAUCUGAGUGUCCCUGCUGGACAGAUAACAUUCCGUGCUAAGAUUGGGAAGGGCAAACGUCUUGAGAACCGUGGUGCAUACCCUGAAGAAUUUGGUGUGAUUGCUAGCUAUAAAGGUCAAGGGAGAAUUGCACAGCCUGGCUUCAAAAAUCCCCGGUGGGUGGAUGGUGAGCUAUUGGUGCUCAAUGGCAAGGUCAUUAGUGGAGAAAAUGGUUCUUGUCACCAGAUCGAAGCUUAGGGUGACACUUCUAUGAGUGACUUCCACAGUUGAAAAAAGUUAGUGGUCCAGGUACCGAGGUUUGUAUACGGUACCUGAGAAGUCCAACAUUAUAGGUCAUUUUCAUUUGCAAAUUAUAAACUGGGCAGAAGAGCACGAUCCCACACCUUGGAGGUGCGGAGCUUGGUUUCCUGUACAGCGUGCCUGAGCAGAGUUUCUUGGUACUCUUUGACCGGCUUAAACUUCCAGAGUGAUGAGAUUAUGCUGAAUCGAGCUGUUCUCACAUGCAAAUUGCAUGAGUACAGAGAGAAGCUGACACAGUUUCAAGAGAAACGUAUAGAUGUCCCGUCAUCUUCCUGAAAUCCUGAGAUGCCUCAGCUCCUUUAUUAGUCAGCUCCUACUUGACAGGAGCUGACCUGUUUGAGCUUUUUCAGGGUAUAAGAGAGCUGACUAUUCUGGUCUAACUGAAUACUGCUAUUCUUGUCCAAUGGAAAACUGGAGCUUCAUAUGAGAUCAUGCUAGGCUCUUAGAUGACGCGGUAUAGAUAUAAUUUGUGUGACAGUUUUGCAUUCGGUUUUGCCUUAAUAAUGAAGGAUGGGAAAGUUUUGUAUUGUCUGGAUGCUACAGAUAAAUAAAGCCUUAUCUUUCAAUACA